UAUAACGCCUGAGGACAAGGAAAAACUUUUAAAUAUUCAAACACGAUUGGAACAUAUUAAAAAUUUAAAUUUUAUCUUUAAUAAAUUUGAAACGUCUAAUAAUGGAAAUGAUCUAGUAGACUAUGAGAAAUAUGAAGAAGAAGAAGAACAACAACAACAACAUGCCAAGUACAUUCAACAAAAAUUAAUUGAUGAACAUGACGCUUUACAAAUUAUGACUUCUUAUAAAAUUUUAUCGAAACCGUCAUCAUCAUCAUCAUCAUCAUCCUGAAUAGCAAGAUUACUGCGCAAAAAAGAUUUUGCUGGCACACCACUUUGUUGCAAAGGCGGUCUCUCGUGGGAAUUGAUAAUACACUUUGUUGCGAAGGCGGUCUCUCGUCGGAAUUGAUAACACACUUUGUUGCGAAGGCGGUCUCUCGUCGGCACUUUGUAUAAAUAAAAUUUUCAAUAAUUCAAUACUUUGUUGCAAAAAAACAGGA